CCGGAGGCCAGACCCGGUCCGCCGGCGGUGGGGGAGCGGCGCCCACCGUCGCCGCGGCUGCAGCGGCUGGCCGGACUCCCAGGACACUUCGCUGACACCGCCCCGGGGCGGGAACUAGUACGACCGCCCCGGGUCCGACGCCGCCGCGAGCCCUUCUUUCAACCCAGUAGAUACCUCCCGCAGCCCAGGAAAAGAGGCCAGAUGGAGGAGAAAGGUCCUUUCACAAACCGAAGAUAAAGCAGACAGACUGAGGAACUGCAGCUGCUGAAGGUCAAAGAGAUAAGCAGAGAUUCAGACCUAGAGCCUCCUGCACUAAAGCCCUCAGCUAGAACAUGGACCUGCUUUCGAGGAAAAGCACCAAGCACACAGGAGCAGAAAGCAUUUUGUCAAAAUUAUUAUUAUAAAUUCAUGCCUGAUUCCUGAAUUACAAAAACAAAUAGUGCAGUUUCUCAGGCAGCUUUCUCUUAAAUGCUCAUCAGCUUUCACCUCAUAGGUGUUCUCCUCCUAACUUUAUGCAUGGCACUUUUCUAACCAUUCUCUAAAGAGCAAUUUCUUCCAGCCCUCCUCUGACGAAAGGAGAAAAUGUGCAAAAGUCAAAUCAAAUUACAGUCAGCCCCCAGGGAAAGUGGGAGAUUCUGCUUCACUGGACUUGGGUCAGUUGACAGAAAAAUUGGAAGCAACAUGAAUGGUUAUCAAUAGGAUAGGGUCAGCUAGACAGCAAAGCAACCACAGAGACCAUUAAGGGAAUCAUUUUAAACAAUUAAGGAGACUGUGUAGCAACAUGAAAUAAUGCUUAGGUACAAUUAUGAGUGAAAAGGAGAAGAUAGGAAAUUUCACAUGUACUGCCUUCGCAACCACAUAAAAAUAAAUAUAAAUGCUCAUGAUCAAAGACUGGAACAAACCAUGCACAAGGAAAUAGAUAUUUUAAGGUCAAGGCAUUAUGGCUGAUUUUUUUCCCCUUUGUGGGCUAAGUCGCUUCAGUCAUGUCUGACUCUCUGCAACCCCACUGACUGUAGC
ensembl:lncRNA